AUACGUUGGGCGCGAGCGUUGUCCGGAUUUACUGGGUGUAAAGGGUGCGUAGGCGGCUCUGCAAGUCAGUUGUGAAACCCCUCGGCUUAACUGAUGGACUGCAUUUGAAACUGUGGGGCUUGAGUGGAGUAGAGGCAGACGGAAUUCCCGGUGUAGCGGUGAAAUGCGUAGAGAUCGGGAAGAACACCAGUGGCGAAGGCGGUCUGCUGGGCUCUAACUGACGCUGAGGCACGAAAGCAUGGGUAGCAAACAGGAUUAGAUACCCUGGUAGUCCAUGCCGUAAACGAUGAUUACUAGGUGUGGGGAGUCUGACCCUCUCCGUGCCGGAGUUAACACAAUAAGUAAUCCACCUGGGAAGUACGACCGCAAGGUUAAA
rnacentral:rRNA from 1 species